rnacentral:lncRNA from 1 species
AUGUUAACUGUGUUAUCUCUUCUUCUUCUGUACAUACACACCAGCGAUGAUGUAGAGACGGUCUCGCUCCGUACCCUCUCUGAUGAUGUCCUCACCAGACCGACAGUCCAGAACCCUCACCAUCAUACCGAUCUGCUCCUCAACCAGACGACGGAGGAAGUCCUUCUUAUGAAAGGCCUUCACGAUCUGAAUCUUCUCAAUGAUGGCCAGACUCAUAGAAACAAAGCAUAUAACCUUUGGGGUGUAUAUUUUCAUCUGUAUUGAGAGAAUAGAAGACCUCAUCUGCCAUAUUUACGUCCUGUUACAACCUGUGAAACAGAAAGAUGAUUGCUUCCAGUUAAGUGGCAGGUCUCCUUACUCUGUUUAUAUUUCUGUUUGGUUCUUGCCUCAGACGUUUGUGGUUUAAACCGUGUAUCCUAUCUUCUGUGUGUGAUCCUCACCUGUGUGACAGAAGACCAGACCACGAUGGAUUCCAGCAGAGCUGCCUCAUCCAGUCCUCCUGACACUAUUGAGGAACGAGUUCAGCAAACCCUCCUUCCCUCAACCUGCACUGAUAACUCUCCUCCUUCUACCCCUCCUCACCCGGUGUACGCCAGUCCCAGUGUCCACCCAGCGUCUCCAGCAGGCUCGGCUGAGGACUGCAGCAGCUUCCUUCUCCUGUGUGCUCUCAUCUUUGAGAUGUAGCCACAUUCAAGCCUGGCAUUCAGCAGAUUCGUAUUUUGGCUUGAUCUAGACUUGACUGCAUUUGCUCUUGAGUGUUGCAUUCCUUCUGUCAGAAGUAACAAAAGAUCAACAGUAUUGUUAAACUUGUAAAGAACCGAAGCAUUUAACAUAUUACUCUGAGCCUUUUUAAGAGAUGAUCGAAAUACGAACUGCAAAAUUUUAAAUAAAUGAAUAAAUAUAUUCCAGAAACUGUAGUCACUGUUGGUUCUUCACAUUUGUUCCUCAUUUUUCAAUAGUAUCAUCAGUGUAAUGCUAAAUCGUCACAGAAGAGUUGGAAUACAGAGCGCUUUUACUUAGGAUUUUAAUUUGAUAAUGCAUAUCCACACGUGGGAGUGAAAUAUUUUACAUACAACAGAGCUCAUUGUUGGUAACUUUAAGGCAAAGAGGUACAAAUUUCACUAAUUUCUAGCAACCUUCUUGCAAUGUUAACGUGAGAAAACUGUGGUGUUCUACAAAACACUUGGUGAACACCUCAACCUUUAUCAGAUUAAGAAACAUUUUUAAUAUUAAAAUGUUUAUGUAAAAGAAAGUAUUGAUUUAAUGCCCCCUCAGAAAAAGCUGCUCUUUCAAAAGGUACAAGGAUGUAGCUGCUGCAGCUAAUAUAAGGUACAAAGGUCUUUUUAAAGGGUACCACCCCAGUGACUGCAUUUGUACCUUUUUGUUUUCUGCGGGUGCACACAUGGAUACAUUAUUUGCAGUUGGUUUAGUUUAGUCUCGAAGUCAUCAGGGUCACUAAUCUCUAGAGUUUGACUAACACUUAAGUGAUUGUGCAACAGAGGGAUACACAUCCUUCUGUCUAUUUCCAUUAUGACAUAACAUGUUCAAACUCAGUAUGCAGUAAGCAAAGCAUUUAGUUGAAAUCUUUUAGUAACAUUAUAAAAACAUUGUAAAUAUUAAAAAAAUUUAAUGUCUCUUUUAAUGCAUCCCUGCUCUCUAACAGAGCAUGCUGCACUACUUCUUGUCCAGGCCCUUGUCAUUUCUAGACUGGACGACUACAAUGCUCUUCUGGCUUGACUCCAUGCACAAUCAAUCCUUUACCGCACUUCACAAACCCGAAAGGGCCCAUGUCACACCUCUGUUUAUCUCACCGGGUGCGGGACAUUGAUGCUGGUGUAUAGAGCAGCCUCAGGCUCAGCACCCACCAACUUCCACUCACUUUGACCAUCUACACUUCCUCCAGACGUCUGAGAUCUAUGAGUCGCUUUGGGUAAAAGUGUCUGCUAAAUGAAUAAAUGUUAAUGUUUGGUGACCAUCAGAUCAACAUAUUAGAAUUAUUCAGCAGGAUCAUGUGACACUGAAGCCUGAAGUAAUGAUGCUGAAAAUUCAGCUUUGAAACCGGAAUAAAUUGCAUUGUUUAUAAAUGUAAAGCAUGUCUACUGUAAUGUAAACUGAUGGGACUGACGGAGGUGGGAAUCAUGGGUGGGUGAGUUUAACAGAUUUAGUGUCAUCUUUCAGACUGGAGGGUAAGAUAAUAUGUAUCGACCGUACUAAUCCUCUGAUCCCUUACUCCUUCCCCUCUACUUCCCUUCAUUUAACCCUCUUUUUACCACUUACUGUCUGCCAGUUCUAGCAGUUUUUUUUCUGCAUUGGUUUAUCCAGAUUACAGCUAAUGCCCAUGUUUGUGUGGUUGUUUUGAGGGUUUCAGGGUCAAACACAGACACUGUCACCAGACGAGCGUAAUUAACUCCAGACAAAACACAACAAAACCUUCCAGGACAAGAAUGGUCUAAUCUUUUCUUUUUUUCAUAAAUAAGUCUGUAUAUCUAGAGGUUGGUUGGUCAUUCAGUGCUUUAUUCCCCACUUCAGGCACAACCAGGACCAUAAACCGCACACAGAGGAACCACAAAUAUUUACAUUCAAAUUAUAUUCAGAAAUUAUUAAUUAAUGGCUUGUGUUUAAUAGUUAAAAAAAUGGUGUUAGCUUUAGACCACAUAAUUAGCAAUAGUUAUUAUAAACAGUAAGCCUAUAACCGUAAAGCUC